GGAUGUGAGGGCGAUCUGGCAGGGACACCUGUCACCCCAUUGAUCGCCAGGGUUGAUUUGGCUGAUCUGGCUGGCUAGGCUGGUGUCCCCUUCCUCCCUCACCACUCCACAUGCAUCCCUCCCGAAGCCGCGUGCUCAGUCGAAGAGGACAAGCAUCCCCAACAGAGGAGGACCAGCUUUUGGUCAAGCGUAUACGAGUAGCUGCACCUCCCUGCUGGAAGCUCCAGGCAAACUCUACUAAAAAUACAAAAAUCAGCUGGUUAUGGUGGCAUGCACCUGUCAU
rnacentral:snRNA from 1 species